CUUUUCUGUCAGAGCACAGACAAGGGGCUGAGCAUCGUCUGUGCAGACUGAGCCCUUUGUUAUAAUAUGAAUAACACGUGUGUGUGUGUGUGUGUGUGUGUGUCUACCUGCUACAGACGGAAAAUAUUAUGCAAAGUCAUAAUCACACUCACACCCUACAAAUGCAAACCAUUCAUGACUUUGUAAAAGACGUCAAUUCAAAAGCAAACAGGCACGGGGUCUAAUGAGCCAGUGUGCUGUUGUCCAGCACUGAUUGGACUUUCAACUGGAAGACAGUCUAUGUACAAAA